rnacentral:tRNA from 1 species
GGAGGGUGUAGCUCAGUGGUAGAGUGCAUGCUCAGCAGACAUGAGGUCCUGGGUUCAAUCCCCAGCACCUCCA